rnacentral:rRNA from 1 species
UUGGAGGGCAAGUCUGGUGCCAGCAGCCGCGGUAAUUCCAGCUCCAAUAGCGUAUAUUAAAGUUGUUGCAGUUAAAAAGCUCGUAGUUGAAUUUCGGGAUCAAUAUAUCGGUCGUGCCAUCGGUACGUACUGGUAUGAUUGGUUUCUCCUUUCUGACGAACCAUGAUGUCAUUAAUUUGGUGUUAUGGGAAGUUAGGACUGUUACUUUAAAAAAAUUAGAGUGUUUAAAGCAGGCUUUAGCUUGAAUACAUUAGCAUGGAAUAAUGAAAUAGGACGUUCGAACCUAUUUUGUUGGUUUCUAGGAUCAACGUAAUGAUUAAUAGGGAUAGUUGGGGGCAUUAGUAUUCAAUUGUCAGAGGUGAAAUUCUUGGAUUUAUUGAAGACUAACUACUGCGAAAGCAUUUGCCAAGGAUGUUUUCAUUAAUCAAGAACGAAAGUUAGGGGAUCGAAGACGAUCAGAUACCGUCGUAGUCUUAACCAUAAACUAUGCCGACUAGGGAUCGGAUGAUGUUAAUUUUUUAAUGACUCAUUCGGCGCCUUACGGGAAAC